rnacentral:rRNA from 1 species
UACGUAGGGUGCGAGCGUUAAUCGGAAUUACUGGGCGUAAAGCGUGCGCAGGCGGUUCGCUGUGUCCUGUGUGAAAGCCCCGGGCUUAACCUGGGAAUGGCAUGGGAAACUGGCGGGCUGGAGUGUGGCAGAGGGGGGGUGGAAUUCCGCGUGUAGCAGUGAAAUGCGUAGAGAUGCGGAGGAACACCGAUGGCGAAGGCAGCCCCCUGGGCUAACACUGACGCUCAGGCACGAAAGCGUGGGGAGCAAACAGG